GUAGGGAAUCUUGCGCAAUGGGCGAAAGCCUGACGCAGCCAUGCCGCGUGAAUGAUGAAGGUCUUAGGAUUGUAAAAUUCUUUCACCGGGGACGAUAAUGACGGUACCCGGAGAAGAAGCCCCGGCUAACUUCGUGCCAGCAGCCGCGGUAAUACGAAGGGGGCUAGCGUUGCUCGGAAUUACUGGGCGUAAAGGGAGCGUAGGCGGAUAGUUUAGUCAGAGGUGAAAGCCCAGGGCUAAACCUUGGAAUUGCCUUUGAUACUGGCUAUCUUGAGUAUGGAAGAGGUAUGUGGAACUCCGAGUGUAGAGGUGAAAUUCGUAGAUAUUCGGAAGAACACCAGUGGCGAAGGCGACAUACUGGUCCAUUACUGACGCUGAGGCUCGAAAGCGUGGGGAGCAAACAGGAUUAGAAACCCGGGUAGUCC
rnacentral:rRNA from 1 species